rnacentral:misc_RNA from 1 species
AACUUUCAGCAAUGGAUCACUUGGUUCUGGCAUCGAUGAUGAACGCAGCGAAAUGCGAUAAGUAAUGUGAAUUGCAGAAUUCAGUGAAUCAUCGAAUCUUUGAACGCACAUUGCGCCCUCUGGUAUUCCGGGGGGCAUGCCUGUUCGAGCGUCAUUACUACCCUCAAGCUCCGCUUGGUGUUGGGCCCCGCCGGCUCCGGCGGGCCCUAAAAUCAGUGGCGGUGCCAUCUGGCUUCAAGCGUAGUAAUUUAUCUCGCUUCGGGGUCCGGGUGCGCGCCCGCCAGCAACCCCCAAUUUUUAAAGGUUGACCUCGGAUCAGGUAGGGAUACCCGCUGAACUUAAGCAUAUCAAUAAGCGGAGGCU